GGUAAUGUGGCCGAGUGUAGGCGGCGAGUUGUAGCCUCGCCAACCGAGGAGUAACCUCGCAAUACCAGGUCG
rnacentral:tRNA from 1 species